rnacentral:rRNA from 1 species
UACGGGGGGGGGCAAGCGUUGUUCGGAAUUACUGGGCGUAAAGGGUGUGUAGGCGGGCUUUUAAGUCAGCGGUGAAAUCUCCGGGCUCAACCCGGAAACUGCCAUUGAUACUAUUAGUCUUGAAUUUUGUUGAGGUAGGCGGAAUAAGUCAUGUAGCGGUGAAAUGCAUAGAUAUGACUUAGAACACCAAUUGCGAAGGCAGCUUGCUAAACAAAUAUUGACGCUGAGGCACGAAAGCGUGGGGAUCAAACAGG